GUGACCCAUCUAAAACAGCUGAUUUAAUUUCCAAAACAUUAACAUUUGCUUAAGUUUGCAUAAAGUAAUUUUUGUUUGAUAAAAAAAAUGCCAUCUCAUACAUGUAUUGUGUGUAAAUUAAAGUUGACAUUUGUGAAGCAAAGAAAGCUUGCCGUUUCCUUUCACGCAUUUCCAAGGUAUCCAUACACAAAACAAGCAUGGAUAGAGUUUUGCGGCACCGACACAGGUGUGGUGUGCUCGGGACACUUUUCCGACGACUGCUUUAUUGCUGGGCGUGAUGAAAAUUAUAAACGUCGCCGAUUGUUUGCAUGGGCUGUACCCACUAUUCGAGUCCCAGUAAAAAUAAAUGGAUCAAGCAUUUUAUCUGAAAACAGUUCAUCGAGUUUGAGUGAAACUAUUCAACCAGAAAUUUCAAAGUCCGUUGACUCGAAGGAAGCUACGCACAUUUCGGCGGAUGAUAUAAUUUUAACACAGAGUGCUACAGUUUCCCAGCUCAAGGCCCAAGUGCAGGAGCAUAAAUCAAAGGUUUACGCUAUUUGUUAAUAGGUGGCGAAAUAUGUCUUUUAGCUUUGCUGCAAAUCCUCUACAGGGAAAAUGCCGUCCUACAGAUGUGUUGUGUGCCAACUAUCGUCGAGAUUCGUUAAGUCGAAAAACCUUUCCAUUUCCUUUCACGGUUUCCCAAGUGAUCCAGACAAAAAACAAGCAUGGAAAGAGUUUUGUGGCACCGACACAGGUGUGGUGUGCUCGGAGCACUUUUCCGACGACUGCUUUCUUGGAGCGCGCGAAGAAAAGAAUAAACGCCGUCGGUUGGUUAACAAGGCUGUACCCACUUUGCGGUUCCCUGUGACGACUCAUGCAACAAGAAUCCUGUCGACUACCUACUCCCAAGAAAAUGAUUCCUCUUAUUUUGGUGUUCAGCCUACGAAGGAGGACUUUUCUGAGGAAGACUUUUCCCAGUCCUUUGACUACAUAGCAGAAGAAGACAUGUCAGAGGAAGAUGCAGUUUCGGCAAAGGAUGACAUAAUUUCCGAUCUCAGGAGCCAAGUUGAUGAAUAUAAAACACAGCUGGAAGACACGACCAAAAAGUUAAACGAGAUGGAAGAAGCCAUUUUUGACCGAGAUUGUAUCAUCGAGGACCUCCGCAAAAAGCUGGACGAUGUCCAGAAUGGAUUAUUACCCGACCAAAUUAAAAUAGAGAUUAAUGAUUAAGUAUGAAACGAAACAAUUCGCGUUUCAGUCCCAUUAAUUGGCAUUCAGUGAUUAAGAUUUCUUCAUCUGACUAAAAGCGGUUGAAAAAUUUGUUAAAGAUGAGCGCGCUCAACCCCACUUUUUGUACACGUAGGGCCAUUAACCUUAAGAUUCAAUCACACGACCUUUAGAUGCGAGUUAAAUGGUCGAGAAUCUGUGUCCUUGUAGAAGCUGUGUAUGUGAUGUGUUAAUUAAAUAAAAUAUAAACUAGCGUAUAACAUUUGUUUUACAUUUCGGAAUGUUCAUUUAUUGAAAAUAAAAAAAACGGAUAUUUUUAGAAC